rnacentral:rRNA from 1 species
UUGAACGCUGGCGGCAGGCCUAACACAUGCAAGUCGAGCGGUAGCACAGAGAGCUUGCUCUCGGGUGACGAGCGGCGGACGGGUGAGUAAUGUCUGGGAAACUGCCUGAUGGAGGGGGAUAACUACUGGAAACGGUAGCUAAUACCGCAUAAUGUCGCAAGACCAAAGUGGGGGACCUUCGGGCCUCAUGCCAUCAGAUGUGCCCAGAUGGGAUUAGCUAGUAGGUGGGGUAACGGCUCACCUAGGCGACGAUCCCUAGCUGGUCUGAGAGGAUGACCAGCCACACUGGAACUGAGACACGGUCCAGACUCCUACGGGAGGCAGCAGUGGGGAAUAUUGCACAAUGGGCGCAAGCCUGAUGCAGCCAUGCCGCGUGUGUGAAGAAGGCCUUCGGGUUGUAAAGCACUUUCAGCGGGGAGGAAGGCGAUAAGGUUAAUAACCUUGUCGAUUGACGUUACCCGCAGAAGAAGCACCGGCUAACUCCGUGCCAGCAGCCGCGGUAAUACGGAGGGUGCAAGCGUUAAUCGGAAUUACUGGGCGUAAAGCGCACGCAGGCGGUCUGUCAAGUCGGAUGUGAAAUCCCCGGGCUCAACCUGGGAACUGCAUUCGAAACUGGCAGGCUAGAGUCUUGUAGAGGGGGGUAGAAUUCCAGGUGUAGCGGUGAAAUGCGUAGAGAUCUGGAGGAAUACCGGUGGCGAAGGCGGCCCCCUGGACAAAGACUGACGCUCAGGUGCGAAAGCGUGGGGAGCAAACAGGAUUAGAUACCCUGGUAGUCCACGCCGUAAACGAUGUCGAUUUGGAGGUUGUGCCCUUGAGGCGUGGCUUCCGGAGCUAACGCGUUAAAUCGACCGCCUGGGGAGUACGGCCGCAAGGUUAAA